GACGAACGCUGGCGGCGUGCUUAACACAUGCAAGUCGAACGAAGUGGCGGACGGGUGAGUAACGCGUAAUCAACCUGCCCUUCAGAGGGGGACAACAGUUGGAAACGACUGCUAAUACCGCAUACUGAAGGAGGGGUUUGCGUCUGAUUAGCUAGUUGGAGGGGGAACGGCUCACCAAGGCGAUGAUCAGUAGCCGGUCUGGAGGGAUGAACCGCCAAAUUGGGACUGAGAAAAGGGCCAGACUUCUACGGGAGGGAGCAGUGGGGAAUCUUCCGCAAUGGACGAAAGUCCGACGGAGCAACGGCGGGGGAGUGAUGACGGGCUUCGGGUUGUAAAGCCCUGUUAAGCGGGACGCGGUACCGGAAUAGAAAGCCACGGCUAACUACGUGCCAGCAGCCGCGGUAAUUC
rnacentral:rRNA from 1 species